rnacentral:lncRNA from 1 species
GUUAGCCUUGCUGAGGCCCGCCUGUCUCCAGUCUUCCCACACUCUUCCUGAGUCACUGGUUCCCAGUCGUGAGGGGUGCUUGCUCCCGUUCAUCUGAGAAGGUCAAACUCUGAGGAUAAGCAUAUAUCAAACCAGGCCAUCACUCACCAAACUGAGACAAAACCUCAACGCCCUCUAGUGGAGAGACUGUUCCAUGCUCCAUUACGUGGGACCAACCCUCUGACUCCCAUGGAAUAUGGUUUAUCAGCCUUUCCCAUUUAUAACAUGAUGCCUGUUCCAAGGAAUGAUGAGAGCAGCAGAGCACAGUGGUUAAGAAUAGAAGGGUGGAGCUAGAAGCACUGACUCCGAGUCCAAAGGAGCCAUUUACUAUCCAUAUGAUCUUGGACUAGUCACUUAGAUCCUCAUUUUCUUAGUUCCCUCAUCUGUAAAAUCAAAACGAUGGUGCCAGUACCCAGAAAGCCUAGGACUUAACUAAGAAAAUCCAUGUAAAGGAGGUAGAACAAUGCCUAACAUGUAAAAAGCACUCGAUGACUGUUACUUAAUAUUGCUAUUUCAUCAGUCUUAUGAAUAAAUAAUAAGGUAGCAUGAAUAAAAGAUUUGAA